rnacentral:rRNA from 1 species
GCCAACAGCCAUAUCACUCUGCAACUCACAACUGGCAGCCCACUGAAGCUCAGCAGGUGGGAGCCUGGUCAGUACCUGGAUGGGCGACCUCCUGGGAAAAAAGGUUGCUGCUGGAA